CGGCCGCGUCGACGGCGUGCUUAACACAUGCAAGUCGAACGGUGAAGCUCCAGCUUGCUGGAGUGGAUCAGUGGCGAACGGGUGAGUAACACGUGAGCAACCUGCCCCUGACUCUGGAAUAAGCGCUGGAAACGGCGUCUAAUACUGGAUACGAGAAGGGCCCGCAUGGGCACUUUCUGGAAAGUUUUUCGGUUGGGGAUGGGCUCGCGGCCUAUCAGCUUGUUGGUGAGGUAAUGGCUCACCAAGGCGACGACGGGUAGCCGGCCUGAGAGGGCGACCGGCCACACUGGGACUGAGACACGGCCCAGACUCCUACGGGAGGCAGCAGUAGGUAAUCUUCCGCAAUGGACGAAAGUCUGACGGAGCAACGCCGCGUGAGUGAUGAAGGGUUUCGGCUCGUAAAACUCUGUUGUUAAGGAAGAAUACUUGAGGUAGUAACUGGCCUUGAGAUGACGGUACUUAACCAGAAACGCCACGGCUAACUACGUGCCAGCAGCCGCGGUAAUACGUAGUGGCAAGCGUUAUCCGGAAUUAUGGGCGUAACGG
rnacentral:rRNA from 1 species